rnacentral:rRNA from 1 species
AUUGAACGCUGGCGGCAUGCCUUACACAUGCAAGUCGAACGGUAACGCGGGGCAACCUGGCGACGAGUGGCGAACGGGUGAGUAACGCAUCGGAACGUGCCCAGUAGUGGGGGAUAGCCCGGCGAAAGCCGGAUUAAUACCGCAUACGACCUACGGGUGAAAGGGGGGGAUCGCAAGACCUCUCGCUAUUGGAGCGGCCGAUGUCAGAUUGGGUAGUUGGUGGGGUAAAGGCCAACCAAGCCUUCGAUCUUUAGCUGGUCUGAGAGGACGACCAGCCACACUGGGACUGAGACACGGCCCAGACUCCUACGGGAGGCAGCAGUGGGGAAUUUUGGACUAUGGGCGCAAGCCUGAUCCAGCCAUGCCGCGUGCGGGAAGAAGGCCUUCGGGUUGUAAACCGCUUUUGUCAGGGAAGAAACGCUCUGGGCUAAUACCCCGGGGUAAUGACGGUACCUGAAGAAUAAGCACCGGCUAACUACGUGCCAGCCGCCGCAGUAA